GUGCUCAUUUAGGCAGCACAUAUACUAAAAUUGGAAUGAUACAGAGAAGAUUAGCACGGCCCCUGUGCAUGGAUAACAUGCACAUUCAUGAAGCGUUCCAUAUUUUU
ensembl:snRNA U6 U6 spliceosomal RNA